rnacentral:misc_RNA from 1 species
AUAUCUGUAAUAAGAAAUAGCCCUCGCCGCUUCCCUCUACAGGAAUGGCGAAGGGCUGUCGGUUUCGACAUGGUUGGCCAUCGUAUGAUGGCCUUUUUUAU